UGGGGAAUAUUGCACAAUGGGGGAAACCCUGAUGCAGCGACGCCGCGUGAACGAAGAAGGUAUUCGUAUCGUAAAGUUCUGUCCUAUGGGAAGAUAAUGACAGUACCAUAGAAGAAAGCUCCGGCUAAAUACGUGCCAGCAGCCGCGGUAAUACGUAUGGAGCGAGCGUUGUCCGGAAUUAUUGGGCGUAAAGGGUACGCAGGCGGUUUAAUAAGUCGAAUGUUAAAGAUCGGGGCUCAACCCCGUAAAGCAUUGGAAACUGAUAAACUUGAGUAGUGGAGAGGAAAGUGGAAUUCCUAGUGUAGUGGUGAAAUACGUAGAUAUUAGGAGGAAUACCAGUAGCGAAGGCGAGUUUCUGGACACAAACUGACGCUGAGGUACGAAAGCGUGGGGAGCAAACAGG
rnacentral:rRNA from 1 species